rnacentral:rRNA from 1 species
GAUGAACGCCGGCGGCGUGCCUAAUACAUGCAAGUCGAGCGAACAGACGAGGAGCUUGCUCCUCUGACGUUAGCGGCGGACGGGUGAGUAACACGUGGAUAACCUACCUAUAAGACUGGGAUAACUUCGGGAAACCGGAGCUAAUACCGGAUAAUAUAUUGAACCGCAUGGUUCAAUAGUGAAAGACGGUUUUCCUGUCACUUAUAGAUGGAUCCGCGCCGCAUUAGCUAGUUGGUAAGGUAACGGCUUACCAAGGCAACGAUGCGUAGCCGACCUGAGAGGGUGAUCGGCCACACUGGAACUGAGACACGGUCCAGACUCCUACGGGAGGCAGCAGUAGGGAAUCUUCCGCAAUGGGCGAAAGCCUGACGGAGCAACGCCGCGUGAGUGAUGAAGGUCUUCGGAUCGUAAAACUCUGUUAUUAGGGAAGAACAAAUGUGUAAGUAACUAUGCACGUCUUGACGGUACCUAAUCAGAAAGCCACGGCUAACUACGUG